rnacentral:lncRNA from 1 species
CAAGAAUCUGCUGAUGGGCAAAGCCCAUACUCUUCCAUCAGGUCUACUCUUUUAACUGAUACAUCUCCGCGGAGCAGAAACCACAGCCACAAGAUGUCACAACAGGGAGUGAAACACGGAGGGCACUUGUAACUCACAAGUUACCACUCCCUAGCUCCAGGGCGGGGUAGCAGCGAGAUUUUCAUUAAUUGUGUGGGGCCCCAGGAUGUGUUUUGGUUUUGCAAAGCUCUCUGGCAGAGCCUGACUUCCUGUUUAUCUGCCUCCGUACGCUCGCACAGCACAUGCAAUUCAAAACACAAGUGCAUGUGUCUUACAAUUCAGAACCAGAAGAGACUGGAACAUUUUUAAUUAGACUGAAAAUAAAAAGAUAGCAGCUUUGGAAGAUGUGUUCCCCUAGCUCCUUUCCUCUUGAAGGCUGCAAUUAAACAUGUUUUCUGGAGAACUGAUCCUUGCCACCCCAAGGAAAGGGGGAACACGAACCCCAUUAUUUGGUAGUCAACUUCGCCCCUAAAAUAAGUGAAACCGCGAAGCUGUCUUUUACCAGAUGCCCGGGGAACUGGCAGAAAACUGCACGACCAGAGUUUCGUACCCUUGGGGCAUGAUGUACACCAAGAAAUCUGUCAUCAGGGAGCUCUAGAAGGCCCAAGAAGAAAGUCUCACUCUUGCUGCUGACAUAGCCUUUUGCCCAAUGACACCUCUCCUCCCUGAAGCUGCCUAUGAGAGGCCUUUGCUCCUGACAAGCGUGCAGUCCAGACCUGCUCCCCUCUGUUCAGGUUUCAGGUAUUUAUGGAUCGGUGCAAGCCCCAGCACAGUACCCCAGCGUGAUUCCGUGUGUUUAGACGGGAACCGUUUCCUGGGCGAGUGGGGGAUUGUGCAGACGGCUUCUGGAAGACCUUCGUGCUCAGCAGCUUUGGUUCUGGGUGACGCCCUCCUACCCUAG